CAGCCGCCACGGGAAUACGAAGGGUGCAAGCGUUAAUCGGAAUUACUGGGCGUAAAGCGUGCGUAGGCGGUUUGUUAAGUCUGCUGUGAAAUCCCCGGGCUCAACCUGGGAAUGGCAGUGGAUACUGGCAAGCUAGAGUGUGUCAGAGGAUGGUGGAAUUCCCGGUGUAGCGGUGAAAUGCGUAGAGAUCGGGAGGAACAUCAGUGGCGAAGGCGGCCAUCUGGGACAACACUGACGCUGAGGUACGAAAGCAUGGGGAGCAAACAGGAUUAGAUACCCGCGUAGUCCCUGUCUCUUAUAC
rnacentral:rRNA from 1 species